UAUAUCGGAACGUACCCAAGAGUGGGGGAUAACGUAGCGAAAGUUACGCUAAUACCGCAUACGAUCCAAGGAUGAAAGUGGGGGAUUCGCAAGAACCUCAUGCUCCUGGAGCGGCCGAUAUCUGAUUAGCUAGUUGGUGAGGUAAAGGCUCACCAAGGCGACGAUCAGUAGCUGGUCUGAGAGGACGACCAGCCACACUGGGACUGAGACACGGCCCAG
rnacentral:rRNA from 1 species